rnacentral:lncRNA from 1 species
CUGGGUUGGUUGGGGUAACUUGGAGCAGUAGGUUGACUGGUUGGUUGGGGUAACUUGGAGUAGCAGGUUGACUGGGUAACUUGGAGCAGCUGGUUGACUGGGUAACUUGGAGCAGUAGGUUGACUGGGUAACUUGGAGCAGCAGGUUGACAGGGUUGGUUGGGGUAACUUGGAGCAGUAGGUUGACUGGGUAACUUGGAGCAGCAGGUUGACUGGGUUGGUUGGGGUAACUUGGAGCAGUAGGUUGACUGGGUAACUUGGAGCAGUAGGUUGACUGGGUAACUUGGAGCAGCAGGUUGACUGGAUAACUUGGAGCAGCAGGUUGACUGGGUUGGUUGGGGUAACUUGGAGCAGUAGGUUGACUGGGAUGGUUGGGGUAACUUGGAGCAGCAGGUUGACUGGGUUGGUUGGGGUAACUUGGAGCAGCAG